GAGCUCAUUACCAUACUCUAGUUUGGAGUGUUUAAAUUGUCAUCACGUAAUUGCAUAAUAAGGAAAACACACGUUUUAUCAAAUUAUAGUAAAUGCAGGAAUUUCAGAAUUCCCUAAAAACUGUCUUAUCCAUAAGUCCAUUUGAAGCUCAAUACAGGAAAAAACAAACAAACAAAACAACCACCCCCCCUUCAAAAACCCAAGUGACCUAAUGCAUAUCACACUUAACACUUCAAAGAUAAGCUAUUCAGGUUUCUUUUUCUCCACUUCAUACACCAGGCACGAUGUCUCAAUUUAUAAUAAGUUUUGUCAACUAUUUAUAGUCAGCUAGGAAUUAUUCAAAGUGUGCUCAUUAAAUGUUUACCCAUCAUCUCUGUUAAAUAUGCUUCCUUUUGCCCAUAUUAAUAGAAGUAUUUGACUUCCUCUCACCAUCUUGUGAAAUGCAAGGUAAUUUGCAAUGAGAGCAAAAAUACUGAAAUCACGACAGGAACUCAGAUAACAUUAGAUUUCUUUUAAAAAUGCAAUUAGUAUUUUUCCAUGAUAUUGAUAAGUUUUUAUUAAUCAUAGAAUCAUAAAAUUGUUAAGGUUGGAAGAGACAUUGAAAAUCAUCAAGCGCAACCAUUACCCCAGCACUGCCAAAUCCACCACUAAACAAUGGCCCUAAGCACCACAGCUACAUCUUUUAAACACCUGCAGGAAUGGUGACUCAGCCAUUCCUACCUUCCCUAGGAAGCCUGUUCCAAUGCUUGGCAACCCUUUUGGGGAACUAAUUUUUACUAAUAUCCCAUCUAAAUCUCCCCUGACACAAAUUAAGGCCUCUUAUUUCCUCUCAUCAUGUAACUUCUUACCUGGAAGAAGAGACCUACACCCAUCCCACCAUAACCUUCUUGCAAGUAGUUGUAGAGAGCCAUAAGGUCUCCCUGGGAAGCCUCCUAUUCUCCAGGCUAAACAACCCCAGCUUCCUCAGCCACUCCUAAUAAGACUUGGGCUCCAGACCAGCCACUGUUCCUAAGACUUGGGCUCCAGACCCUUCACCAGCUCCACUGCCCUUCUUUAGACAUACUCCAGCAGCUCAAUGUCUUGCUUGUGGUGAGGGACCCAAAACUGAUCACAGUUCCUUACUUCCCCAAGAUUAGAAAACUAUAUUUUCAUGAUUGCUAUGCCCGAGAUGGCCUUCAGCCAUCACAUCACCUACCAGUUCUUCUCUAUUCAUAAGCAGCAGGUCCAAUGGGGCACCUCCUCUGGUUGACUUAUUCACCAGCUGUGUCUGGAAGCUACCUUCUUUAUGGAAGCAAUUUUGAUGCAGGGUGUAGGACCCUGAGAUUAGCUCGGUUGGUUAGAGCAUAGUGUUAAUAACACCAAGAUUAUGCACUUGAUCCCUGUAGGGGCUAUUCACUUAAGAUUUAGACUCAAGGAUCCUUGUGGGUUCCUUCCAACUCAGAAUAUUCUGUGAUUCUGUGAACUUAACCUCAGCAAAACUACCUAACUAGAUCAGUUUUCAUCCUUGUUGUUCUUCAGUUCCACUUGCAAAACCUUGCACCUGUUAUGUCAUGGCACCUGGGAAGGUGAGGCAAUCAUAGAGGUGGCACAUCUGCUGUGCCAGGCAGGAAUUUAUCACCAUUGCCCUCUAUCACUUAAGUCAACACAUUCAGCCAGGUGGAGAGAAGACAGAGAAUCCUCCCUAUCUUGCAUCCUGUCUGCCUGUCUGGCCUGUCCCAGGGAAGGUACAGUGUGAUUCCGGUAGUUCUACCUUUCAGAUCCCCUGAUGCUCCUCAACUUACGCCCUCUUAGAGCUCUGUCACUAAGCAGAGGAGUGCCCCUCUACCUGGGCACACCUUCCACAGGUGUGCUCACUGCUCCCAUCCAGUACUGCUAUAACAGCAGGGCAUAGCCUGCAGCUUAUACCUGGGUGCAGUGUCUUCCCACCAGAGCUCUGUCUGGGUAGCUGCAUAAAGUCAUGGUGUGUGCAGAGCUUAGGGAGGCCAUGGUUUUCUUCUGGGUGGAUGCCAUUGCUCCACGGUUGAGCUGGCAGGGCUUCAGCACCUUUUCUGCAUGCCCUUCUGCACAAAUUGCCAUAUCAUGCCCUGGCUGAUGUGCCGUGCCUGUUUGCCCAUUCUGUUGGUGGCAAUCCUAGUCACUGGUGCUCCUUAAGUGCUUCUUUUAUAAAUGGAGGGCUUGGCAGCCAUUGCUGCUGGCUCUGCCCAGAUCCUGUCAGCUGCUGUUGCACGAGCUGGGGGCUACCAGUGGCUCUUUUCUCACUCUUAGGUUCCUCUAGUUCAGGGACCCCCUAUCCACCACUCCAGAGUGUUCCUCUGCAGAUUGUGCUGGAACUGGAACUGUUUGCCUUGGCGACUGAGUAACUAAUGUUACAGAGGAAGACUAAUUGUGCUUUUAUACUUAGGGUAGCAGAUGGUACUCAAAUGUAGGAAAUCUGGCAGGUAUGUGAAGUAACAUUUAGACAUUCUUCAGGUGUUUUUUUGUUUGUUUGUUUGUUUUUCAUCAAACAGAAAUCUGCUAAUAUAGAGUGUAGUAGUUUGAUUUUUAGGCCUUCCUUGGUAACUGAGGUCAAAACCAAGGAAGUAUUCCAUUCUAUUCCUUUAUGUGAACAGAGGUAUAAAUAAGAUGGAGAGAGAGAUCUCUUCCCCUCUUCUCUCCAGUGAACUUGGGAGACAGCAGGUCCCUGCAAUUGGUCUCGCUUAUCUGGAAGCUGAGGCCUGCUCAGCUUGUUGCUUGCCACACAGGAGGUGGAGGGUGCUGGCCGUGUCUGGCGAUCCUGCUUUUCUUAAAGGAAGUGGUGAGGAUGAAAUUCUGGUUGAAUUCUCCACUCCGUCUGGUUUAGCAGAAACUUGUGUCUUGAGUUAGCAGACUUUGCAAAGCCAGAAAACAAAAUAAUCAAAACAUCGGCUUGACAUUGUGUGGACCAACACUUCACAACUAAGAUGUAAAUGGAAAGGAUUUUUCCCUUCUCUGGAGAAUUCUAUUUAUUAAGAGAAAGAAAGUGUUACAAAAAAUAAAGAAUUCUGAAGCAAAGAAGUGGCUGUGGAAAGAAGAAGGGGGUUCAGAAAGGAUAAAGGAAAGAUUCUAGCUGGAGGAAAGUUCUUUAAACUGGGAGAAGAUCCUGGAGAUGGGAGAGAAGUAUGAGGAUAAAUGCCUGACCUUGGCUGGUGAUGCCCCAAACUACCAGGAGCUGCAUAGCAGGAACCAACACAGCCUGAUCCUCCCAGAGCAGCAAAGAUGUUCCUGCAGGGAAGGGAAGUCAGCAUCUAGUGAACUACUUAUCUCUAUGUUUUUUUUCAACCUAAAUGAUUCUGUGAACUUAAUGUUGUGGGAAAGGGAGGGAGAUAACCAAGCAGAAAAAAAAGCUCUAACCUCUUUUGUUUGUUUUCUAUAAAGAACUUGCUUGACUGAAUAAAGAUUUGUUAGCUCAGGGACUCAUCUCAUCCCUUCUGCUAUCCAUAUUGGUCUCCAAAUCAUAAUCUUUUUAUUUUGUGUUCUCUCUGUUCUCAUAAAUACUUUUGCAAAUACACACAAGUAUACAAUGUUAAACCAAAAGGGUCUAAGACCUGUAUUAGUGUACCCAUAGUCUUCAUAAUGCUUUCUCUGAAUGUGUUAGAAGAAUUUUGUCCAUCCUCUUCAAAUCAGACUGACAACAGUUGUUGGUUUUGAGAAGGAUUGGUAAAAGACUAAAUAUUUGUUCUUUUUCUGACUUCAUACCAAGUAGCUGAGAAGUUAUUCACUUCUCAUUGCUGUUUAAGGAGAAGACUGAAACUCCUGAGCAGGAACAGGUUGCCACUCCUGAUUUUAAUUUACCCAUUCCCAUCUCUUUCCCAGAAUACCACAACUGGGAUGACAGUAACUCACAUGUACUAAAUGCACUAGUCUCAAAACUGGCUAGCCUACUGUGAUUUUGAACUGAACAAUUGAAAUGCCUCAUGUCUGACUUGCUGCUUGCCAUUUAGGGACUAGAAAUUAUUUUUGUUCCUUUCACCACAGUGAGUGACACAGGAAAGUUACUUGCCUCAAGAGAAAUUAUUACCCUAAUUGUAGCAAUCUAGUUAAAUAAAUACUAUCAGGAACUUUCUCCCUUAUCCGCCAUCACUUGUCUUCAUAGAAAAAUCCAUGAAGCAUAAUCUGAGCAUAAAGUGUCUGGAGAAUUUCUUUUUAUUAUUUCUUUACUGUUGCUGAGGACUGUCUUGCAAUCAGUCAAAUGUUUAUAUGAGGAUAGAACAAGUAAUACGCACACCAAACACAGAACUUCACUGCGCAUCUGACAUAAUAAGAGGGUAGAAGCAGAAUUAAUCUCCUCAUCUUAAUUGUGAUGGUCAUAUAAAAUUACACAAAAUAUUUCUCGCCUGUACCCUCCUUCCCCCCCACUCCCCAAAUAUUUUCUAGGGUUAAAACAAGUUGCUGCUAUCACUAUUAUUAUUAUUGAGGCUGUAUUAUGACCCGUAGACAAAAGACAGUAGUAGUAGUAAUCCAGCUAUCUCAUAACUCCAGCAGUGUAAUUCCAGAAUGUUUUGAAAGUAUGGUCUUUUCUUGACACUUCUCAGAGGAUUGCUGAGGAGAAAUGCUCAUUUACUAAUAUGACUGAAAAGCACUGUCACUCCAAAUCACCACAGCCAUUUAAUGAAAAUGGGCUUUUCAGCAAUAUAAUAGAUGCUGCCAAAGCAGGGAUCAGAAAGAGAAGAAAGGGAAUGAACUAAGUAACAUGAGCUGUUAAAAACGUCAACUGUGUUUUGCUAAGAUGUCUGACACAAGAUGGUAUCUGCCCUGCUGAAUAAUUUCCUUCACCAGCUUCAGCUACCUGAAAAUGUCUUCACUUUUUUUCACAGGCCGCAUACUGGCUGAUAAGGUGAAAGGUUUCAUUCCUAUCAUGUUAAAAUGAGUCAUUUAUACAGAAGCAUUUUUAAAGGUGCUGCUACUGCAAUCGUUCAGAUGAUGCCCAAGGAACAGUAUUUAACUUUUUUUAAAAUUUUUCCUGUUGAAACUAGUGCUUGGUCUUCCAAGUUCACUAAUUACUAUGAUGUUUACCUUUACAUUUAUAUAAUAAAUAACUGGCUCCGAUUCUAAGCUUCUUUUCUUCUAUAGUCUUUUACUAUAAGGUCCAGUAUUUCAAAAUUGGUUUUCAUCUUGAUUGAGAAUGAAAAUCUGAAAUAUACAUUUAUUUGAUGAUGCAGAAGGUAAUGAAAACAAACCAAACCUUACAGAUUUAUCGUGUGGUACUGUUAAUAUUCUUUUCAUUUUUGAGGCAACACUCAGUUGUUCCCUUAUAGAUAUCAAAUACUAAAUAAGUGGUACCUUGCAUGUCUCCAGGUGCUGACAGAGCAUAUAAGUUCCCCACAGAUCCUAAUUUGUAACUGCCAACCCACAUUUUGCUUAUCCUAGGGUAUUGUAGAUGGUCUUGGGUGCCUGUGAGAAUGAAAUAGAUCAAGUUGCUAUACGUAGAUGAGUUAAAUUCUGACAUACUAACAUAUGAAGGAUAAGCAUGUUUCGUCAUGCAUUCUGUUCAAUUGCAUGCUAAUUUCAUGUUCUACCAUAGAAUUGAUUUGAGACAGACCACUGUCAACUCUUGAGAUAAGACCAGGAUGUUAUGAUUCAGGUACCACUGAAAACAUACUAAAAGGAAAGAAAUGUCUUUGAAAGUUUGAAUAUACUAUGUAUUGAAAGACUGACCAAUACACCAGAAGUUUUAGCCUUCAUGUGAAAUCCUGCAGAAGCAAUCCCAUUUCAUAGUCUCUUUGCAUAGUAGCUGUUGGAUAGCUUUACGCAAUAUUGUCUUUAUUUGAGCAAAUCAGAAUUGUAAAAAAACACAUUUGUUUUAGGGGGAUAAUUUUAUCUCUCACAGAAUACUAAAAAUUUUGCUCUUGGAUUUCAUUCCCUUAUUCUGAAAAUUCUUUAUUAACUUAUGUUUUACCUUUCAGCGUAUGCCUUCACUGUCUAAGCAGAAACAUAUCCUCAAAAUUCUACAGACAAUUAUGUACACAACUGCUGUAUAUUCAAUGCUGCAUACAAAGUCUACACGACGUCAGAAAUUUUAAAAUGUAGGAAUGUUUCUUGUUUUACAAAUGGAAACUCUAGAGAUAGUCUUGAACAAUCUGAAAUCUGACACCGUAUAAACAUCUCUUUAUUUUUCAGUAAGCAUUUGGACAAUUCUUUCAGGCAUAUGGUUUGAUUCUUGGGGUGUCCUGUGUAGGACCAGGAGAUGGACUCAAUGAUCCUUGUGGGUUUCUUCCAACUCAAUAUAUUCUAUGAUUCUAUGAUUUAUUUCUUAAUAACUUAUUAUUUUAAAUAUAGACCAUGAAAUUACAAUUGCUAUUUUACAUCAUCACUACAGAAGAAAAAAAUAGCUUUACCUUAUAAAACCAGGGGGGGUUGUUUGUUUGUCUACUUUCUGUUUUUAGUAUUGGUAUUUGUUAUUUGUUGAAUUCAAGAAUAAAUUAAAACAGCUUCAGAUGUCCCUCUCUG